rnacentral:rRNA from 1 species
UUGAAGAGUUUGAUCAUGGCUCAGAUUGAACGCUGGCGGCAGGCCUAACACAUGCAAGUCGAGCGGUAGCACAGAGAGCUUGCUCUCGGGUGACGAGCGGCGGACGGGUGAGUAAUGUCUGGGAAACUGCCUGAUGGAGGGGGAUAACUACUGGAAACGGUAGCUAAUACCGCAUAACGUCGCAAGACCAAAGUGGGGGACCUUCGGGCCUCAUGCCAUCAGAUGUGCCCAGAUGGGAUUAGCUAGUAGGUGGGGUAACGGCUCACCUAGGCGACGAUCCCUAGCUGGUCUGAGAGGAUGACCAGCCACACUGGAACUGAGACACGGUCCAGACUCCUACGGGAGGCAGCAGUGGGGAAUAUUGCACAAUGGGCGCAAGCCUGAUGCAGCCAUGCCGCGUGUGUGAAGAAGGCCUUCGGGUUGUAAAGCACUUUCAGCGGGGAGGAAGGCGUUAAGGUUAAUAACCUUGGCGAUUGACGUUACCCGCAGAAGAAGCACCGGCUAACUCCGUGCCAGCAGCCGCGGUAAUACGGAGGGUGCAAGCGUUAAUCGGAAUUACUGGGCGUAAAGCGCACGCAGGCGGUCUGUCAAGUCGGAUGUGAAAUCCCCGGGGCUCAACCUGGGAACUGCAUUCGAAACUGGCAGGCUAGAGUCUUGUAGAGGGGGGUAGAAUUCCAGGUGUAGCGGUGAAAUGCGUAGAGAUCUGGAGGAAUACCGGUGGCGAAGGCGGCCCCCUGGACAAAGACUGACGCUCAGGUGCGAAAGCGUGGGGAGCAAACAGGAUUAGAUACCCUGGUAGUCCACGCCGUAAACGAUGUCGAUUUGGAGGUUGUGCCCUUGAGGCGUGGCUUCCGGAGCUAACGCGUUAAAUCGACCGCCUGGGGAGUACGGCCGCAAGGUUAAAACUCAAAUGAAUUGACGGGGGCCCGCACAAGCGGUGGAGCAUGUGGUUUAAUUCGAUGCAACGCGAAGAACCUUACCUGGUCUUGACAUCCACAGAACUUUCCAGAGAUGGAUUGGUGCCUUCGGGAACUGUGAGACAGGUGCUGCAUGGCUGUCGUCAGCUCGUGUUGUGAAAUGUUGGGUUAAGUCCCGCAACGAGCGCAACCCUUAUCCUUUGUUGCCAGCGGUCCGGCCGGGAACUCAAAGGAGACUGCCAGUGAUAAACUGGAGGAAGGUGGGGAUGACGUCAAGUCAUCAUGGCCCUUACGACCAGGGCUACACACGUGCUACAAUGGCAUAUACAAAGAGAAGCGACCUCGCGAGAGCAAGCGGACCUCAUAAAGUAUGUCGUAGUCCGGAUUGGAGUCUGCAACUCGACUCCAUGAAGUCGGAAUCGCUAGUAAUCGUAGAUCAGAAUGCUACGGUGAAUACGUUCCCGGGCCUUGUACACACCGCCCGUCACACCAUGGGAGUGGGUUGCAAAAGAAGUAGGUAGCUUAACCUUCGGGAGGGCGCUUACCACUUUGUGAUUCAUGACUGGGGUGAAGUCGUAACAAGGUAACCGUAGGGGAACCUGCGGUUGGAUCACCUCCUU